GGUCUUGUAGUGAAAUUCAUACCGGAUUGCAAAUCCGGAGAUGCGGGCUGAUUGCCUGCCGGGGCUU
rnacentral:tRNA from 1 species